UACGUAGGUGGCGAGCGUUGUCCGGAUUUACUGGGCGUAAAGAGCGCGCAGGCGGUCGUACAAGUCGCGUGUGAAAGCCCCCGGCUCAACUGGGGAGGGUCACGCGAUACUGUUCGACUCGAAGGCAGGAGAGGGAAGCGGAAUUCCCGGUGUAGUGGUGAAAUGCGUAGAUAUCGGGAGGAAUACCAGUGGCGAAGGCGGCUUCCUGGCCUGUUCUUGACGCUGAGGCGCGAAAGCUAGGGUAGCAAACGGG
rnacentral:rRNA from 1 species